rnacentral:rRNA from 1 species
AAACUUUCAACAACGGAUCUCUUGGUUCUGGCAUCGAUGAAGAACGCAGCGAAAUGCGAUAAGUAAUGUGAUUGCAGAAUUCAGUGAAUCAUCGAAUCUUUGAACGCACAUUGCGCCCGCCAGUAUUCUGGCGGGCAUGCCUGUUCGAGCGUCAUUU